CUUGGCCGAGAUACACAGACAGUCGCCCAAGGAGAAGACCAAUAAGUCCUCAGCAGUCCGGAGGAGGAAGCGUCCCCAUGCCCACCUGCGGGUACCUCAUCUGGAAGAGGUGAUGAGUCCUGUCACCACCCCCACAGAUGAAGAUGUGGGCCACAGGAUCAAGCACGUGGCAGGUAUGUUCCAGGUGGGAACCGUUGUGUAGAUUGGGACCAUGGGAUGAAGCUGUGUGUCUCUGUCAUGUAUGCUCACUUGAUUUACAUCCUGAGUAGAGUUUGUCCCUUGUCCCUCACAGACCCACUAAGCUCCUGCCUGUCUUGUAUGUCUUCCUCUUCUAACCCACCCUUUGAAUUCUCACGUAUAUUCUCAAUUGUGGAAACC
rnacentral:lncRNA from 1 species